rnacentral:rRNA from 1 species
AGGAUAGAACGCUGGCGGCGUGCCUCAAACAUGCAAGUCGAGCGAGGCUAUGAAUUACCGCAAGGUAAGGCAUAGCCUAGCGGCGAACGGGUGAGUAACACGUGGGUAACCUACCUGGAAGACAGGGAUAACGAUUCGAAAGGGUCGCUAAUACCUGAUAAUAUCCAUCUGCCGGAUGGCGGAGGGAAGAAAGGGGAAACCCGCUUUCAGAUGGGCCCGCGUCCCAUCAGCUAGUUGGUAAGGUAAAGGCUUACCAAGGCGACGACGGGUAGCCGGUCUGAGAGGAUGUACGGCCACACUGGGACUGAGAUACGGCCCAGACUCCUACGGGAGGCAGCAGUUGGGAAUCUUAGGCAAUGGACGAAAGUCUGACCUAGCGACGCCGCGUGAGGGAAGAAGGCCUUCGGGUUGUAAACCCCUGUCAUGGGGGAAGAAGGAAGUGACGGUACCCCAAGAGGAAGCCCCUGCUAACUACGUG